rnacentral:rRNA from 1 species
UGAGCUUGAUCCUGGCUCAGGAUGAACGCUAGCGGCAGGCUUAACACAUGCAAGUCGAGGGGUAUAGUUCUUCGGAGCUAGAGACCGGCGCACGGGUGCGUAACGCGUAUGCAAUCUACCUUUUACAGAGGGAUAGCCCAGAGAAAUUUGGAUUAAUACCUCAUAGUAUAUAGACCUGGCAUCAGGAUUAUAUUAAAGUCACAACGGUAAAAGAUGAGCAUGCGUCCCAUUAGCUAGUUGGUAAGGUAACGGCUUACCAAGGCUACGAUGGGUAGGGGUCCUGAGAGGGAGAUCCCCCACACUGGUACUGAGACACGGACCAGACUCCUACGGGAGGCAGCAGUGAGGAAUAUUGGACAAUGGGCGCAAGCCUGAUCCAGCCAUGCCGCGUGCAGGAUGACGGUCCUAUGGAUUGUAAACUGCUUUUAUACGAGAAGAAACAUCCGCGACGUGUA